CCUACGGGUGGCAGCAGUGGGGAAUAUUGCACAAUGGAGGGAACUCUGAUGCAGCGACGCCGCGUGAGUGAAGAAGUAAUUCGUUAUGUAAAGCUCUAUCAGCAGGGAAGAAAGUGACGGUACCUGAGAAAGAAGCCCCGGCUAAAUACGUGCCAGCAGCCGCGGUAAUACGUAGGGGGCAAGCGUUAUCCGGAUUUACUGGGUGUAAAGGGAGAGUAGGCGGCAGUGCAAGUCCGGAGUGAAAAGCCGGGGCUCAACCCCCGGACUGCUUUGGAAACUGUCCGGCUGGAGUGCAGGAGAGGUAAGUGGAAUUCCUAGUGUAGCGGUGAAAUGCGUAGAUAUUAGGAGGAACACCAGUGGCGAAGGCGGCUUACUGGACUGUAACUGACGUUGAGGCUCGAAAGCGUGGGGAGCAAACAGGAUUAGAUACCCUGGUAGUC
rnacentral:rRNA from 1 species